UCCUGUACUCUGAACCAGAGCAGGUUUGUUCAUACCUAGUCAACCGUCUCUUUAUGGUCAAUGGUCAUGUGUUUGCUAUUCCAAUUCUUGUUCUAUUAUUGCGAUUCUCGGUCCAACUGCCCAAGUCUGUUUAACAUCAUCAUAUAUGUUUUCCUGUCCUUGCUCUUUUGCUUGUCAGAUUUUACCUUUUUCUGUUACCCUUUUGCCUCUCUGUUAUAUGUGUUCCACUUAAUAUUUUUAGUGCUGUAACUUGUGGUGCAGACUCCUCG
rnacentral:misc_RNA from 1 species